UACGUAGGCAGCGAGCGUUGUUCGGAAUUACUGGGCGUAAAGAGUGUGUAGGCGGUGCUCUAAGUUCGGUGUGAAAUCUCCUGCUUAACUGGGAGGGUGCGCCGGAAACUGGAGUGCUCGAGCGUGGGAGAGGAAAGCGGAAUUCCUGGUGUAGCGGUGAAAUGCGUAGAUAUCAGGAGGAACACCUGUGGUGUAGACGGCUUUCUGGACCAUAGCUGACGCUGAGACACGAAAAGCGUGGGUAGCAAACAGG
rnacentral:rRNA from 1 species